GCGCGCGUGGUGGAAUUGGUAGACACGCUACCUUGAGGUGGUAGUGGCGAUUUUAAGCUGUGCUAGUUCGAGUCUAGUCGCGCGCACCA
rnacentral:tRNA from 1 species